CCUACGGGAGGCAGCAGUGGGGAAUAUUGCACAAUGGGCGAAAGCCUGAUGCAGCAACGCCGCGUGAAGGAAGACGGUUUUCGGAUUGUAAACUUCUAUCUAUAGGGAAGCAAGAACUGACGGUACCUACAUAAGAAGCCCCGGCUAACUACGUGCCAGCAGCCGCAGCAAUACGUCGGGGGCAAGCGUUAUCCGGAAUUACUGGGUGUAAAGGGAGAGUAGGCGGCAAGGUAAGCGAUAUGUGAAAGCCUUAAGGUUAACUUAAGGAUUGCAUAACGAACGAUCUAGCUAGAGUACAGGAGAGGAAAGCGGAAUUCCUAGUGUAGCGGUGAAAUGCGUAGAUAUUAGGAAGAACACCAGUGGCGAAGGCGGCUUUCUGGACUGAAACUGACGCUGAGGCUCGAAAGCGUGGGGAGCGAACAGGAUUAGAUACCCUGGUAGUC
rnacentral:rRNA from 1 species